rnacentral:rRNA from 1 species
AUGAAUGAAGGACGUGUUUUGAGGUCUAGUGUAACACAAGAUCAUGAUCAUGUAGAUCACGCGCAUCAGCCUUCCAAAAAUUCUGUUGGGGAGAAAAGCAAGUGCAAAGAGGAUGGGGGCUCUACAACAAUCAGUUGCAAGGAAGCAAACAUAAGGACUGGACUCACAAUGAACCAUGAAGCCGGCGAUCCGCGUCAACUGGAUGCUUUAGCUUUCAUUUUGUACAACCGAUGUCUCAUAUUUGCGUCUUUUUGCUGUCAUUUUGUAAACCUGAUGUAUGGUGUCUUGUCUUGGUGCUUAGAACAGACUGAAGUGUAUGUAUGUGACAAUUAG